UACGUAGGGUGCAAGCGUUAAUCGGAAUUACUGGGCGUAAGCGUGCGCAGGCGGUUUUGUAAGUCUGAUGUGAAAUCCCCGGGCUCAACCUGGGAAUUGCAUUGGAGACUGCAAGGCUAGAAUCUGGCAGAGGGGGGUAGAAUUCCACGUGUAGCAGUGAAAUGCGUAGAUAUGGUGGAGGAACACCGGUGGCGAAGGCGGCAUCCUGGACCGGU
rnacentral:rRNA from 1 species